rnacentral:rRNA from 1 species
GACGUAGGGCGCGAGCGUUGUCCGGAUUUAUUGGGCGUAAAGAGCUCGUAGGCGGCUUGUCGAGUCGACUGUGAAAUCCCGAGGCUCAACUUCGGGCUUGCAGUCGAUACGGGCAGGCUAGAGUUCGGUAGGGGAGACUGGAAUUCCUGGUGUAGCGGUGAAAUGCGCAGAUAUCAGGAGGAACACCGAUGGCGAAGGCAGGUCUCUGGGCCGAUACUGACGCUGAGGAGCGAAAGCGUGGGGAGCGAACAGG